UCUGGUUGAUCCUGCCAGUAGUCAUAUGCUUGUCUUAAAGAUUAAGCCAUGCAUGUCUAAGUAUAAAUAGUAUACAGUGAAACUGCGAAUGGCUUAUUAAAACAGUUAUAGUUUACUUGAUAAUCGAAUUUUAUAUGGAUAACCGUAAUAAUUUUAGAGCUAAUACAUGCUGUUAAACCUGACUUUUCGGAAAGGUUGUAUUUAUUAGAUAACAACCAACAGCUUCGGCUGCUGUGAUGAUUCAUAAUAACUGAUCGGAGUGAAGCUAGUCUUCACUAAAUCAUUCAAGUUUCUGCCCUAUCACUUUGUUGUUAGUGUAUUGGACUAACAAGAGGAUUACGGGUACGAGGAAUUAGGGUUUGAUAUCGGAGAGGGAGCCUGAGAAACGGCUACCACUUCUAAGGAAGGCAGCAGGCGCGUAAAUUACCCAAUUCCGACUCGGAGAGGUAGUGACAAGAAAUAAUAACUCGGAUAGUUUUACUAUUACGAGAUUAAAAUGAGAACAAUUUAAAGAUCUUAUCGAGGAACAAUGAGAGGACAAGUCUGGUGCCAGCACCCGCGGUAAUUCCAGCUCUUAUAGUGUAUAUUAAAGUUGUUGCAGUUAAAAAGCUCGUAGUCUAUCAUCUAGUACUUUACGUAUUGGCUCACGCCAAGACGCUAAAGUGCUAUCUGUUCGAGAACUUCUUCUACCUUAACUGGUCGGAGAUGCUGAUCGGACAUUUUCCUGAGAAAAAAUUAGAGUGUUCAAAGCAGGCUAAUGCAGUGAAUAUUACAGCUUGGAAUAAUAGAAUAAGACUAAAGUCUCUUUUGUUGGUUAUGAACUUUAGUAAUAGUUAAUAUAAACAGUCGGGGGUAUUAGUAUUUAAGUGUCAGAGGUGAAAUUCUAUGAUUACUUAAAGACUAACUUAUGCGAAAGCAUUUACCAAGGAUGUUUUCAUUGAUCAAGAACGAAAGUUAGGGGAUCAAAGACGAUCAGAUACCGUCCUAGUCUUAACUAUAAACGAUUCCAACCAAGGAUCGGUAGGGUCUGCUAAGCCCUAUCGGCACUUUAUGAGAAAUCAAAGUCUUUGGGUUCUGGGGGAAGUAUUGACACAAGUCUGAAACUUAAAGGAAUUGACGGAAGGGCACACAAGGUGUGGAGACUGCGGCUUAAUUUGACCCAACACGGGGAAACUUACUAGGGCAAGACUAAGGUUGGAUUGACAGAAUGAGAGCUCUUUCUUGAUUCUUAGGGUGGUGGUGCAUGGCCGUUCUUAGUUGGUGGAGUGAUUUGUCUGGUUAAUUCCGUUAACGAACGAGACUUUAACCUGCUAAACUAGGAGCCGAAUUACUCAUUCGGUUUCCUUCUUAGAGGGACUAAGUGUUCAAGCACAAGGAAGUUUGAGGCAAUAACAG
rnacentral:rRNA from 1 species